ACCAAUCAUUGAGAAAGGAAAUCUCUCGCUGGGAUCUCUCUAGAUCUCUCUUUAUAUCACAUGCCAGUGAUUUGGCUUUCCUGCUAUCUCUCUUUCUUGCUUUUUUUUUUCUUAAGAAAAAUCUUGAUUGGACUUUGUGUGAAGAAUCUAUGCUUGUUUGAAGAUUCAGUUAAAUUCGUGGCUUGAAAGUUUGUCUCCCCUGGAUAUAUAUUGUCUCUUCAACCACUUAUAGUCAGGUAUUCCAAGUUCAUCUUGUUGCCGCUAGUUUCAUAUUAGCAGGAAGUAACGAGGCACCAGGUACACAAAAAAGGAAACAUAUUCUUAUUCAAAUGAAGGAAGGAAGUUAACGAUGCCCUCCCAAAGUGGUGUCCGCCAUUAAGCCUACUUUGAAUUUUCUUGGUCUUUAUUCUUACAAAUCACAAACACAUUUGGAUUACUUGAACAAUCAACUAACCAUCGUCUCAUAUAUUCUUUCUUUCUUCGUAAUAUCUUUACAGUUUCUUAGGUGAAUGCAC
rnacentral:lncRNA from 1 species